rnacentral:rRNA from 1 species
CUACGGGUGGCUGCAGUGGGGAAUAUUGCACAAUGGGGGAAACUCUGAUGCAGCAACGCCGCGUGGAGGAUGACACUUUUCGGAGCGUAAACUCCUUUUAUAUAGGAAGAAGAUGACGGUACUAUAUGAAUAAGCGCCGGCUAACUCCGUGCCAGCAGCCGCGGUAAUACGGAGGGCGCAAGCGUUACUCGGAAUCACUGGGCGUAAAGAGCGUGUAGGCGGAUUAAAAAGUCAGAAGUGAAAUCCUAUAGCUUAACUAUAGAACUGCUUCUGAAACUCUUAAUCUAGAAUAUGGGAGAGGUAGAUGGAAUUUCUGGUGUAGGGGUAAAAUCCGUAGAGAUCGGAAGGAAUACCGAUUGCGAAGGCGAUCUACUAGAACAUUAUUGACGCUGAGACGCGAAAGCGUGGGGAGCAAACAGGAUUAGAUACCCUCGUAGUC